GCUCUGUGAGCAUGUAUCUUCUUCAGCUUUCAUUUUUUUUUUCUUGGCACCAAAAAGGUAUAUCCUUUUCGAAGCCAUGUCACCGUCACUCCUCAAUCGCCACCAAGAAUUCUACAUCUUGGUCGCCACUGACUGUUGGCUGAGGUGCUUGACGUGGUAACGCAGCGUAAGCCUCAGUUUGACGUGAGCAAGGCACGAUAAUAUGACCAAAACAAUCUGGCAACACUGACUGCUGCCUGACAAGUUACCAGUCAGUGGGUGGUGUUAGUACGCGUCAGUUUCAACUCCUAGCCUGACGGAAUUUGUUUUUAUUUUAUUUUAUUUUAUUUUAUUUUUGUGUGUGUGUGUGUGUGUGUGUAACCACGCCUACACAGUGGCUGCCAAGGCUUACCCAUGAGUUAAACCUUCUUUAGUUGGUAAUGAGGAAGGCGUGGGCUCUAGCAGUGGACACCCGAAGGCAGCAGUGGGUGAAAACAAGCAAAAUAAAGAAAAGUUUGGCUGUGAGAAGGUGCUAGACAGCCAGCCAUAGUGACGAGGAGGCAGGAAGGAAGAUAACCACCACAGGGAAGCCAACCUGCUCCAAUGAAGUGAUCAAGAAAUUCAUAGCCAGGUGACCACUACAUGAAGUACUGGAAAAGAAUGAUGUCAGUGAAGGAAGGAGACCAGGCAGCCUGAAGAAAAGUGGUGGAAGGACUGCAUAUGUACAGGACAGCAAGAGAAUGGGAAAGAGGGAGAGAAUGAGGAUCAGCAAUUAUGCUAUAAAUGUGGGAAGAAAUUAAGAGCACCUUAUUUCUGCUGCUGCAUACAAAGAAACAUCCACCUGAUAAAUAUAAGUGCAUUUGGGAUAAAGAUUCAGCUUAGUGUAUAUAAAAUAGUCUAUAUUUGUCAGCUUAUAAAUGUGUUGUAAAGAAUGUAAAAAGAAAAGUAGAUACAUUGCUGAAGACAGAACAACUGGACAACUGUGAAACAUUCAAGUAAUCAAAAAUAGUAGUGAAUGUGCCAGAACAUAAAAUACUAACAUAAUGUAAUGUGCUAAAAAUAACAAACUUUGCUGUGAACAAGACAAUAAAAAUUUCUGAAUA